GAAACCAGAAGUGUUGAUGGUGUUUGUACAAUUUGCAAAUGCGACUAUGAAUAUAAUAUGCAAAUUAAUGAUGGAAUGAGCAUGACAGUAGCCAAUGCUUAUCGCCUAAUCUGUGCGUCCGCUUUCACUACCCCAAUUGCUCUGUACUUUGAUAAGUUCAUAUAUAAUUUACCUUCAACUUCUUUUUAUCACUUGGUUCAAACAUUUACUACUAAUAUAUUUAGACUGCUGAACAAGCCUUUGAACAAAGUUCCAUGUUGCCUCCGUACAUUUAUGACGAUUUGUAUACAACUAUGCCUUAUUUAUCUACCAUAG